AUUGAACGCUGGCGGCAUGCCUAACACAUGCAAGUCGAACGGUAACAGGUCUAGCUUGCUAGAUGCUGACGAGUGGCGGACGGGUGAGUAACGCGUGGGAAUCUGCCUUCUAGUGGGGGAUAGCCCGGAGAAAUCCGGAUUAAUACCGCAUACGCCCUACGGGGAAAGCCGGGAGUCUUCGGACCUGGCGCUAGUAGAUGAGCCCGCGUGAGAUUAGCUUGUUGGUGGGGUAAUGGCCUACCAAGGCAACGAUCUCUAGCUGGUCUGAGAGGACGAUCAGCCACACUGGGACUGAGACACGGCCCAGACUCCUACGGGAGGGCAGCAGUGGGGAAGUAUUGGACAAUGGGC
rnacentral:rRNA from 1 species